rnacentral:lncRNA from 1 species
ACGGGGGGUUGAGAUAGUUACCUUCUUCAAAAGGAAGGGAAGGUAAGAUAUUAUACUAUUCAGUUAUUGUAUACUGGAUAGUUUUUACCCUAAACAAUGUUUCUAAAUGAAGAACAGUGAAUAUUUAUUGGACUGCUAAUGCUGAAUUUAAAAUCUAAGAUUACUUUAGAUAAGAAUUACCUUCAUUCUAGAAAGGUUUUUGGUUUUGCCUUGAAGCAUUUGAAACAUUUUAAGCAUUAAAAGUUCUAAUAUAUGGCUUCUGUGAAAUUAAGCAUUUUAGUUCCUGUAGGGCCAUCCCGACCACAAAGGACUGCAACAACCAUGCACGAGUUGUUUUUCUCUAGUCACGUGGAAAAAAGUUUUUAACUGAAGGACAUAAAUCAUAACACUUAAGUGCUUUGUGCAUCUAUUUAGAAAUCUGUUUCUUACUGAUAAACUUAAAUAGUGCAUUUUGAAAACUAGUAAACAGCUUACAGCUUUCAUUUAAUGUUUCAAAAUUCAAGGCAAUAUGAAAAUAAGAAGUAAAUUCAUUUUGUUCUGUAAUCUUAGUAAUCUUAUUACUUUACUAGUUAUGUCAAUAAUAUAUUUUUUUAAACUGGAUCCUUUUGUGGUUAUCACUCUUUGUAAUAAUGACGGCCUCUACUUACUUUCAAAAGUAAGAAUUUUCACACAGAUCAAGGGAAAUAGUAAAGUGACUCACCCUUGCAUUUGGGAGCAUAAAAAUUUGCCAUCGGGGAUUCAGAGGGUUGAGGGCUGGGCCUAGCUGCCUCUUAACUGGCUGCCAGAGGGCUUUUGCAUUUCAUUUUUUUUCUCCACUUGUAACAACUAAAAUUAUUAUGGAUUUAGUUUAGUCAACUUAAUCAAAUUGUGUAGUUACUUGCUGGUUUUCAGUGAAGAGAACAACAGAGCUUUGGUGCCAAGUGUCAGUGCCACAUAGGGAAACAAGUUCUCUGGGAUCACUUGUGCUGAUGAAGGAGGGAGGAAAGGGCUUGAGGUGCGCUCAACCAUUGAGCCACAUCCCCAGCCCUAUUUUGUAUUUUAUUUAGAGACAGAGUUUCACUGAGUUGCUUAGCCCUCGCUCUUCCUGAGGUUGGCUUUGAACUCACGAUCCUCCGGUCUCCCU